rnacentral:rRNA from 1 species
UACGGGGGGGGCGAGCGUUGUCCGGAUUUAUUGGGCGUAAAGAGCUCGUAGGCGGUUCGAUAAGUCGGAUGUGAAAUCUCCACGCUCAACGUGGAGGGGCCAUUCGAUACUGUCGUGACUCGAGUCCGGUAGGGGAGUGUGGAAUUCCCGGUGUAGCGGUGAAAUGCGCAGAUAUCAGGAAGAACACCUAUGGCGAAGGCAGCACUCUGGGACGGUACUGACGCUGAGACGCGAA